rnacentral:tRNA from 1 species
GGCGAGUGUUUAUUAAAGAUGGUCUAACUAGCUGUAAAAUAUGUUGAAUUUAUCAAUGUGCGGAGCCAUCAUGUUGGUGACUGUUGGCACUAGCAUCGGGUCUGCAACUUACUUUUAAUCAGUAGGUCUCGGGUUCGAACCCCGACGCUCUCACCA